CUAGCAGUAUCAGAGUUUGAUCCUGGCUCAGAUUGAACGCUGGCGGCAUGCUUUACACAUGCAAGUCGAACGGUAACAGGCCUUCGGGUGCUGACGAGUGGCGAACGGGUGAGUAAUGCAUCGGAACGUGCCCAGAGUGGGGGAUAACGCAGCGAAAGCUGUGCUAAUACCGCAUGUGAUCUGAGGAUGAAAGCGGGGGGACCAAGCAGCAAUGUUUGGCCUCGCGCCUCUGGAGCGGCCGAUGUCAGAUUAGGUAGUUGGUGGGGUAAAGGCCUACCAAGCCGACGAUCUGUAGCUGGUCUGAGAGGACGACCAGCCACACUGGGACUGAGACACGGCCCAG
rnacentral:rRNA from 1 species